CAAAUACCGUGUAUAAGUACGAAGACGUAGAUUCGGUAGGCAAAUCCGCCGAUGAGUUGAUGUACGAAAGUAGUCCAAAGCUACGGCAGCGGACAGUGAAGGGUAGCAUACUUCCAAGAAAAGCCUCUAAGCUAUAGCUAUAUACAACCCGUACCGCAAACCGACACAGGUGGGCGAGGAGAGUAUCCUCAGGCGCUCGAGUGAUUCGUGGCUAAGGAACUAGGCAAAAUAACCCCGUAACUUCGGGAGAAGGGGUGCUUCCCGCGUGAGCGGAAGCCGCAGUGAAGAGGUCCAGGCGACUGUUUAACAAAAACACAGGACUCUGCUAAAUUGAAAGAUGAAGUAUAGGGUCUGACACCUGCCCGUGCUGGAAGGUUAAGGAAGGUUGUUAGGGGCAACUCGAAGCAAUUAACUGAAGCCCCAGUAAACGGCGGCCGUAACGAUAACGGUCCUAAGGUAGCGAAAUUCCUUGUCGGGUAAGUUCCGACCUGCACGAAUGGUGUAACGAUCUGGACACUGUCUCAGCCACGAGCUCGGUGAAAUUGAAGCAUCGGUGAAGAUACCGAUUACCCGCCACGGGACGAAAAGACCCCGUGAACCUUUACUAUAGCUUUGCAUUUUUUGAGUAAAUAAUGUGUAGGAUAGGUGGGAGACUGUGAAGCGGGUACGCUAGUAUUCGUGGAGUCAUCGUUGAAAUACCACCCUUUAUUUGCUUAGAAUCUAACCCCUACUUGGGAGACAGUGCAUGGUGGGUAGUUUGACUGGGGUGGUCGCCUCCAAAAGAGUAACGGAGGCUUCCAAAGGUACCCUCCGCACGCUUGGUAACCGUGCAAAGAGUGUAUUAGCAGAAGGGUGCUUGACUGAGAGAUCGACGGAUCGAACAGGUACGAAAGUAGGGUAAAGUGAUCCGGUGGUUCCGCAUGGAAGGGCCAUCGCUCAAAGGAUAAAAGGUACUCCCGGAUAACAGGCUGAUCGCGCCCAAGAGCUCAUAUCGACGGCGCGGUUUGGCACCUCGAUGUCGGCUCGUCGCAUCCUGGGGCUGGAGAAGGUCCCAAGGGUUGGGCUGUUCGCCCAUUAAAGCGGCACGCGAGCUGGGUUCAGAACGUCGCAAGACAGUUCGGUCUCUAUCUGUGGUGGGCCAGGAAUAUUGAGGAGAGCUGCUACUAGUACGAGAGGACCGUAGUGGACGUACCGCUAGUGUAUCGGUUGUGCCGCCAGGUGCAGCGCCGAGUAGCUAUGUACGGAACGGAUAAGCGCUGAAAGCAUCUAAGCACGAAGCCAACUUCAAGAUGAGUAUUCCAGUCGUAAGACGAAGGGUCGUGGGAGACUACCACGUUGAUAGGCUAUAGGUGG
rnacentral:rRNA from 1 species